CCUACGGGCGGCAGCAGUGGGGGAUAUUGCACAAUGGGGGAAACCCUGAUGCAGCGACGCCGCGUGGGUGAAGAAGCGCCUCGGCGCGUAAAGCCCUGUCAGCAGGGAAGAAAAUGACGGUACCUGAAGAAGAAGCCCCGGCUAACUACGUGCCAGCAGCCGUGGUAAUACGUAGGGGGCACGCGUUAUCCGGAUUUACUGGGGUUAAAGGGGGCGCAGACGGCGAUGCAGGCCAGGAGUGAAAGCCCGGGGGCCAACCCCGGGACUGCUCUUGGAACUGCGUGGCUAGAGUGCAGGAGGGGCAGGCGGAAUUCCUGGUGUAGCGGUGAAAUGCGUAGAUAUCAGGAGGAACACCGAUGGCGAAGGCGGCCUGCUGGACUGCAACUGACGUUGAGGCCCGAAAGCGUGGGGAGCAAACAGGAUUAGAUACCCGUGUAGUC
rnacentral:rRNA from 1 species